UGUAAGUCCUCAGCUUCUGCAGAAGUUCACGGAGCUCAUCCCCCACCAUGGGCCUGACCAAGGACAUGCUGGCCAUCCUGCCCAAGUCGGACCAGUGCACCAAGGCCAUCAGCUAAAGGGCCGUUGUGUCCUCCAGACUUGGUGGACACUGGGCUCUAAUCCCCACUCUGUGGUGCCCCCUUCCCAUCUUUCCCGGCUGAACUCUGCCGGACCCCCUGCCCCACACCAGGAUCAUCCCUUGAUCUCCUAAAUAAAUAGAUGCAGAAGCUGU